rnacentral:rRNA from 1 species
AAAACUCGGUCUCAGUUCAGAUUGCAGGCUGCAACUCGCCUGCAUGAAGUUGGAAUUGCUAGUAAUCGCGAAUCAGAAUGUCGCGGUGAAUACGUUCCCGGGCCUUGUACACACCGCCCGUCACGCCAUGAGAGUCGGGAACACCCGAAGUCCGUAGUCUAACCGCAAGGAGGGCGCGGCCGAAGGUGGGUCCGGUAAUUGGGGUGAAGUCGUAACAAGGUACC